UCCCUGAUAUCACAGUUGGUAAAGAAUCUGCCUGCAAUGCAGGACAACCUGGUUCAAUUCCUGGUCAGAAAG
rnacentral:tRNA from 1 species